rnacentral:rRNA from 1 species
CCUACGGGUGGCAGCAGUGAGGAAUAUUGGUCAAUGGGCGCGAGCCUGAACCAGCCAAGUAGCGUGAAGGAUGACUGCCCUACGGGUUGUAACCUUCUUUUUUAAAGGAAUAUAGUGAGGCACGUGUGCCUUUUUGUGUGUACUUUAUGUAUAAGGAUCGGCUAACUCUGUGCCAGCAGCCGCGGUAAUACGGAGGAUCCGCGCGUUAUCCGGAUUUAUUGGGUGUAAAGGGAGUGCAGAUGGGUUGUUAAGUCAGAUGUGAAAGUUUGCGGCUCAACCGUAAAAUUGCAAUUGAUACUGGUAGCCUUGAGUACAGUAGAGGUAGGCGGAAUUCGUGGUGUAGCGGUGAAAUGCGUAGAUAUUACGAAGAACACCGAUGGCGAAGGCAGCUUACUAAACUGCCACUGACAGUGAGGCGCGAAAGUGUGGGGAGCAAACAGGAUUAGAUACCCCUGUAGUC